AGAGUUUGAUCCUGGCUCAGGAUGAACGCCGGCGGUGUGCCUAAUACAUGCAAGUCGUACGCACUGGCCCAACUGAUUGAUGGUGCUUGCACCUGAUUGACGUUGGAUCACCAGUGAGUGGCGGACGGGUGAGUAACACGUAGGUAACCUGCCCCGGAGCGGGGGAUAACAUUUGGAAACAGAUGCUAAUACCGCAUAACAACAAAAGCCACAUGGCUUUUGUUUGAAAGAUGGCUUUGGCUAUCACUCUGGGAUGGACCUGCGGUGCAUUAGCUAGUUGGUAAGGUAACGGCUUACCAAGGCGAUGAUGCAUAGCCGAGUUGAGAGACUGAUCGGCCACAAUGGAACUGAGACACGGUCCAUACUCCUACGGGAGGCAGCAGUAGGGAAUCUUCCACAAUGGGCGCAAGCCUGAUGGAGCAACACCGCGUGAGUGAAGAAGGGUUUCGGCUCGUAAAACUCUGUUGUUGGAGAAGAACGUGCGUGAGAGUAACUGUUCACGCAGUGACGGUAUCCAACCAGAAAGUCACGGCUAACUACGUGCCAGCAGCCGCGGUAAUACGUAGGUGGCAAGCGUUAUCCGGAUUUAUUGGGCGUAAAGCGAGCGCAGGCGGUUGCUUAGGUCUGAUGUGAAAGCCUUCGGCUUAACCGAAGAAGUGCAUCGGAAACCGGGCGACUUGAGUGCAGAAGAGGACAGUGGAACUCCAUGUGUAGCGGUGGAAUGCGUAGAUAUAUGGAAGAACACCAGUGGCGAAGGCGGCUGUCUGGUCUGCAACUGACGCUGAGGCUCGAAAGCAUGGGUAGCGAACAGGAUUAGAUACCCUGGUAGUCCAUGCCGUAAACGAUGAGUGCUAGGUGUUGGAGGGUUUCCGCCCUUCAGUGCCGGAGCUAACGCAUUAAGCACUCCGCCUGGGGAGUACGACCGCAAGGUUGAAACUCAAAGGAAUUGACGGGGGCCCGCACAAGCGGUGGAGCAUGUGGUUUAAUUCGAAGCUACGCGAAGAACCUUACCAGGUCUUGACAUCUUGCGCUAACCUUAGAGAUAAGGCGUUCCCUUCGGGGACGCAAUGACAGGUGGUGCAUGGUCGUCGUCAGCUCGUGUCGUGAGAUGUUGGGUUAAGUCCCGCAACGAGCGCAACCCUUGUUACUAGUUGCCAGCAUUAAGUUGGGCACUCUAGUGAGACUGCCGGUGACAAACCGGAGGAAGGUGGGGACGACGUCAGAUCAUCAUGCCCCUUAUGACCUGGGCUACACACGUGCUACAAUGGACGGUACAACGAGUCGCAAGCUCGCGAGAGUAAGCUAAUCUCUUAAAGCCGUUCUCAGUUCGGACUGUAGGCUGCAACUCGCCUACACGAAGUCGGAAUCGCUAGUAAUCGCGGAUCAGCAUGCCGCGGUGAAUACGUUCCCGGGCCUUGUACACAACGCCCGUCA
rnacentral:rRNA from 1 species